AAAUAAAGUUUCAAUUGUCUCAAUUUUAUUAUCAACCGAACUUUAUUUCUUUAUGAAAAAGUUAAGAUUUAUUCAAAGGACGAGAAGACCCUAUAAAUCUUAACUUUUUCAUAAAGAAAUAAAGUUCGGUUGGGGCGACCUGUGAAUUUAGACAAACUUCACUAACUAUAAAAUUUUAAUAAAAAUAUUACCUAAUGAUCCUUUAAAAAGAUUAAUAGAAAAAGUUACUUUAGGGAUAACAGCAUAAUUUUUUUUAAGAGUUCUUAUCAACAAAAAAGUUUGUGACCUCGAUGUUGGAUUAAACACAGUUAUAGUGCAGCAACUAUAAACCAUACCUUCUAGUCUGUUCGACUUUUAUUAUUUACACGAUUUGAGUUCAGACCGGA
rnacentral:rRNA from 1 species